UUCAACUCCGGAGUCAUACUCUUCCUCGGAUGAAUCUUUAGUCGGAGCCCUACAAUUAAAAUGAAUUGAGCAGCCCUGAAGUAAUUAUUUCAACAGGAAUUCAGCCAACCAGCCACCUCCAGGAACUCCUUUCCCCAUCCUUUCACCUUUGUGGGAAGCAGAGCCUCAACCCCUCUCAGGAAUACCAGCAGAAAUAUAUCUUGCAGACAGCCCAGGUAGCCAUCAACUUUGGGCUACAUCAGACUAAGGGAAUCAAAGGAGCCAGUUUUGAUUUUUUCUCCAAGAAUUUCAAUGUCCUGCCCACUACUAAGGACUAACAAUGAUAAUUCCCCCCCU